ensembl:lncRNA
AUAGUAUCUAAGUUCAUUUCUUACAAGUUCAGAAUUAUCUGCUGAAUAGCAUGUGAGUGGAAGGCAGGACACUGCAGGAUGAUAAACAGACAUGAUCUGAAAGGCUUAUCAUCAUUGUGUGCUGAAUCACACUAUAAACAUGGACUUUGAAACAUCUUUUUCUGAAACUUAGAGGGACUCAGAGCAGCACAAGUAUUUUGUCUCAGUGGAAAUUAUGGAACUGCAGCAAUUACUCACCAGAACCACAUUCUCCCACUGGAAGUCACUGAAACAUGCUGUGGAGAGCCUUGAAGCUGUCAAAAGCCUUGGGAAAUGGACUUGUCUGAACAAACAAUGGAUUGGUCUUCAAAAGCAAUUACCAGGUAAAAGAUGUCACAAACAAAUGCUCCAAAAGGGCUCUUCACAACCCACAGGAUCCCUCCAGGAACACCCACAACGUGGUGAGCAGCUGGGCUACCACAGGCAGCAUGCAAACCGGCAGGAAGCAACAAUAGCUCUGAAGCCAAGGAGAAAAGAAAAGCUACAGAACCCAGAUCUGUUUUUUCUUCAAAAUUUCAUAGUCAUUGUAUUUUCAAUCUACAGAGAGUACAAAUUUGUGGUCUAAUGGUCCUGAAUGAGCACAUAUAGCAAGCUGGACACCUGUAGAGGAAUUGCCACUGUCUGGUGAGGUGCUGCUAUAGAUUUGUGGAACUAUUCAUUUUCUGCAGCAUCCAAGACCUAUUGAAAUUAGGAAGACAGGAUGUCCUAUAACCUCCAUGCAAUGUAAUAGCAAACAAACAAACAAACAAACAAAAAAUCUUCAGAAACAAAAGGUCAGAGAGUAUGGUUACCUGAACACAAAGACUACAACUUGUAACACUGUCAUUCUAAUUACAAAAAUUUCACAAGGUUUUCUGGUUUAUUUUAAAUGAUUACUAAGAGCACGUUAGGCUUAUAAAAAUGAACAGUGAAUUGCCUGGAAUUAGUAUAUAACGCAAAAUUCAGUGGGAUAUUAUAUUAGAACUUCCCUGAGCAAUAGUCAACAAAAUCAGUAACUUAAUGACAGAAAUCAGUGUGGGUACAGAAACAUGGAGCCUUACAAAUACUUGCUACUGAAUGCUUUUAGAGGCAAACCAAACUCCUUAUCAGCAAAGAACUCGGGAAUUUAAAAUCUUGCUGCUUAAAAAGCUGCAUCCUCUUUUCUAAUCUGUGAUUUAAAAUUCUUCUAUGCCUCGAGACUUUUACUGAACAGUUUCUGUAAGCCUUCAAAAAUUAUAUAUUUAUUUGUGUACAGAAAAUGAGACCAAUGAGAUAUGAAUUGUAAGAUGACCAGCAAAUCUGAAAGCAGAAGAGAAACCUCUUACAUACCACUGUUAAUUACAUGAAAACAUAUUUGCCUGUCCUAUUUUCUUUCUU